CAAUAGCGUAUAUUAAAAUUGUUGCGGUUAAAACGCUCGUAGUUGGAUAUCUGCUGAGGGGCUUCGGUCCAUCCGAGUGAUGAAUACGCGGAGCUCUUCUCAGCAUUCGUUCAGGGACCGUGUUUGCACUUUGUUGUGUGUCACAUGAUCUGGAUUUUUACUUUGAGGAAAUGAGAGUGUUUCAAGCAGGCUUUCGCCGUGAAUAUGAUAGCAUGGAAUAAUAGCAUAGGACCCCUUUCCAAAGCUGUUGGUUUUUGGAACGAGGUAAUCAGAAUAAGGAUAGUUGGGGGUAUUCGUAUUUAACUGUCAGAGGUGAAAUUCUUGGAUUUUUUAAAGACGAACUAUUGCGAAGGCAUCUGCCCAGGAUGUUUUUGUUGAUCAAGAACGAAAGUUAGGGGAUCGAAGACGAUCAGAUACCAU
rnacentral:rRNA from 1 species